rnacentral:rRNA from 1 species
CCGGCACGGGUGAGUAACACGUAUCCAACCUGCCGUCUACUCUUGGACAGCCUUCUGAAAGGAAGAUUAAUACAAGAUGGCAUCAUGAGUUCACAUGUUCACAUGAUUAAAGGUAUUCCGGUAGACGAUGGGGAUGCGUUCCAUUAGAUAGUAGGCGGGGUAACGGCCCACCUAGUCUUCGAUGGAUAGGGGUUCUGAGAGGAAGGCCCCCCACAUUGGAACUGAGACACGGUCCAA